rnacentral:rRNA from 1 species
GUGGGGAAUAUUGGACAAUGGGCGAAAGCCUGAUCCAGCCAUGCCGCGUGUGUGAAGAAGGUCUUCGGAUUGUAAAGCACUUUAAGUUGGGAGGAAGGGCAGUAAGUUAAUACCUUGCUGUUUUGACGUUACCGACAGAAUAAGCACCGGCUAACUUCGUGCCAGCAGCCGCGGUAAUACGAAGGGUGCAAGCGUUAAUCGGAAUUACUGGGCGUAAAGCGCGCGUAGGUGGUUUUGUAAGUUGGAGGUGAAAUCCCCGGGCUCAACCUGGGAACUGCCUACAAAACUGCAUGACUAGAGUAUGGUAGAGGGUAGUGGAAUUUCCUGUGUAGCGGUGAAAUGCGUAGAUAUAGGAAGGAACACCAGUGGCGAAGGCGACUACCUGGACUGAUACUGACACUGAGGUGCGAAAGCGUGGGGAGCAAACAGGAUUAGAUACCCUUGUAGUCC